UUGGAGGGCAAGUCUGGUGCCAGCAGCCGCGGUAAUUCCAGCUCCAAUAGCGUAUAUUAAAGUUGUUGCAGUUAAAAAGCUCGUAGUUGAAUUUCGGGAUUGGCGCAUCGGUCGUGCCUCACGGGGUAUGAACUGGUGCAGUCAAUUUCUCACCUUCUGGAGAACCGCGAUGUCCUUAAUUGGAUGCCGCGGGGAACCAGGACUUUUACUUUGAAAAAUUAGAGUGUUUAAAGCAGGCAUUUUUGCUUGAAUACAUUAGCAUGGAAUAAUAAAAUAGGACGGCAUGGUUCUAUUUUGUUGGUUUCUAGGACCACCGUAAUGAUUAAUAGGGAUAGUUGGGGGCAUUAGUAUUCAAUUGUCAGAGGUGAAAUUCUUGGAUUUAUUGAAGACUAACUACUGCGAAAGCAUUUGCCAAGGAUGUUUUCAUUAAUCAAGAACGAAAGUUAGGGGAUCGAAGACGAUCAGAUACCGUCGUAGUCUUAACCAUAAACUAUGCCGACUAGGAAUCAGACGAUGUUAAUUUUUAAUGUACUCGUUUGG
rnacentral:rRNA from 1 species